rnacentral:lncRNA from 1 species
ACCGCUUCACCACCGAAGGCGAAUGUGGCGGCGAGGUCUCCGGGCGGCUCCGCCACCGUUCUCUUGGCAACUGUGGUGACUUCGCUGCUCGCCUUCUAUUACCUCUGAGGGCCAACAUCUCAGCCUCUCUCACGUGUUAUGUUGCACAGACCUUGUGACUCUGCGUUGCGCGGUGUUGUAAUCUGAGUUUACUUUGUUUAUCGGGAUGGGUUAUUAUCAUGUAGUGUCGUGGACUGAAUAUUGAGUGCGUAGUAAAUUGCAAUGUACCGUGGACUGGGUAUUUUGAAGUCGUUGCCAGUUAUGACACUUUAUUUACUUUUGAAUGCGCAGAUGACUUUGUUGA